GUGCUUGCUUCAGGGAGCACAUAUACUAAAAUUGGAAGAAUAGAAGAUUAGCAAGACCCCUAUACAAGGAUGAAACUCAAAUUUAUAAAAUAUUUUCUUUUUUA
ensembl:snRNA U6 U6 spliceosomal RNA